rnacentral:rRNA from 1 species
AUUGAACGCUGGCGGCAGGCCUAACACAUGCAAGUCGAGCGGAGCGGCGGACGGGGGAGUAAUGCCUAGGUAUUUGCCUGGUAGAGGGGGAUAACGUCCGGAAACGGGGGCUAAUACCACAUACUAUCAGACUAGCCUAGGUCGGCUUAGCUAGUUGGUGGGGGAAAGGCCUACCAAGGCGACGAUCCGUAACUGGUCUGAGAGGAUGAUCAGUCACACUGGAACUGAGACACGGUCCAGACUCCUACGGGAGGCAGCAGUGGGGAAUAUUGGACAAUGGGCGAAAGCCUGAUCCAGCCAUGCCGCGUGUGUGAAGAAGGUCUUCGGAUUGUAAAGCACUUUAAGUUGGGAGGCGUUACCAACAGAAUAAGCACCGGCUAACUUCGUGCCAGCAGCCGCGGUAAUAC